rnacentral:rRNA from 1 species
UACGUAGGGUGCAAGCGUUAUCCGGAAUUAUUGGGCGUAAAGGGCUCGUAGGCGGUUUGUCGCGUCGGGAGUGAAAACCCAGGGCUUAACUCUGGGCUUGCUUUCGAUACGGGCAGACUAGAGGUAUGCAGGGGAGAACGGAAUUCCUGGUGUAGCGGUGAAAUGCGCAGAUAUCAGGAGGAACACCGGUGGCGAAGGCGGUUCUCUGGGCAGUUACCUGACGCUGAGGACGAACGUGUGGGAGCG